rnacentral:lncRNA from 1 species
UAAACUGAAAUACUGGCUUCUCCGACAACAAUGCUGCAGCCAGUAUAUUCUCCUUUUGAAAUUUCUGUUCUGGAGCGGAACGUCUGUUUGUGUUUUGGACUGUGUGAUUCCGCCCACUGCCCAUUUCUCCAGUACCAUUAACCAUAGACAUAUAUACAGGACAUGUCUAUGCCAUUAACACCCCUGGUUGCCAGAUACGUAAGAACAUAAACACAGCGUGCGACUACCAUGGAAGUAAGCGAACGAACUGGACCAAUGUGUGAUACUGAUCCUUGAGCAGAAAAUCUUUUUUGUAAUCUAGCUUUCUCUGAUGCAUAUUCACACCUGUUCUAAUAUGUAAUUUAGCUAGCUAACAUUACUGUGGAAACAUAAAAAUGAGUUGUUUAUUGUUAUAUUUGUACUGUGUUGGUUUAAAAAAAAAAAAAAAAGAUGUAUCGUUGUGUAGCGGCGAUAAAACCAUGAUAGAGAAGGAGUAGUCUUGUUCGUUCAUCAUUCAGGUAUUUUAUGUAUACAACAUCGAAGGGGAAACUAGCCUUCAUAGUAGGUCACUGACCAAUGCACGCAAAGGACGUAUUAAUGUGAUGUCACACAAACUAGGCCUACUGGUUUUACUUUACGUCAUCAGCGUAGGCUACGUUAUUCCCGAAAGUAGAAGUCAGAAGGUUGUGAAAAGUUUCUGGGGGGUGUUGAAUGUUGAUAUAACUGCAAAGUUGCCUAGAUAAUGGCUGCUCAGAUGUUCGAUUACGGACCGGAGCGGACGUCUGGCCGACAUCCCUCCGAGGCCAAUUGGUCCGCUUACUCCGAGAACAUCAAUCAGCGGAUGCGGGUACCUGAGCGAAUCAGAGUGGCUCCUGGCCAGUCUGCAGAGGAAGAGCAGAGAUCUGAGGAGGUUCAUCCCGCCUACUCCAUGCAGAUACCGGACAAGCUGGCAUGGACAGAUGUCCCAGACCUCAGUGCCAGACCACAGUUCUCCAAACAGGUCCACGGCCACAGCAGCUCCCUGUGGGACCUGCACCAGGGAGCCUUCAGCUCGGAGGCCGCCGCCGCCCUACAGCAUCCUGCACAGAGCCCCAUUCGGAGGUCGUACAGUGACCAUGCCUUUGGCCGCAGCCCCCCACUCACCCCCACACGCACUAAGGAGUCCCUGCAGAGUCCAUCCUCGUUUGGCCACCCAGAUAACCCCUCACGGUGCUCGGCUGAGGUGCAGCCAUACACGGAAACCAGGAGAAGUGCCCUGCAAGAGUCUUGGCUGAGCCCGGACGAGGAGUCUGGUGCAGCUGUGGAGUUCAUUGUUCUUCGGCGGCAGCUGCUGAAGAUGAGUCGUCGCCUUGCCGCACUGGAGCGUCAGAACAUGGAGCACAAGCAGGCCGAGAUGCUGCUUUUCUCCCUCAUGGUGUCGGCCGUCUUGCUUAAUGGCUGGUUGUGGAUGCGCAGAUAGCCCCCCCCCCCCACACACACACACACACACACACACACAGUCUUCCCAUCUGUGCUUGGAUUCCACUGCCUGCCCCUCGGCCUCCAUCGGUCACCACUCUUUGGCUGUGCCCCUGUAUGGGUGCUCCUCCAUCGGUCACCACUCCUGUAUGGGCGCCAGCCUCGACCACACUAGGCGUAGCUAUGCUAACACCACUGAGGACUGGCUAGCUAGGUAAAAAGCAUUUGCACACAAGCACUGGGGUGGAGCUGGUUGUAAGUAUUGUAAGGUUGUGGUGAGGGGUUUUUGGCCCAGGUUUUGAGUGUGUUGUUUAUGUCAUGUAUUUAUCAAGUCAGGAGAAAGGAGGAGGCUUGAAAAAAAGCUUGACUGUUCAGGUGUUCAAAGGCUUAAGAGAAGUUUAAAUGUACUACACACUUAUUUAUGGCAUAGAAGAUUGUAAUUUAUAUUUACAUACUUGGCAGGUGUGUCCGGAGUCAUAUACUAGUGAAGCAGGAAACUGUACAAGUAGACCUAAUAUUUGUGUAUUGCUGUAUCCAGGACUGGAGCAGAACAUGUAGUGGAACACCUGUGCACACCUCCUGGAGUUGCUCUCGUUUGUGAGGAGGUUAUGGCCGCCACACAGGGGUUUUGGAUCGAGUUUGACUUCAUUUCCACGUAUUGUAGAGUUCAUCUGCAGUCACCCUAGCCAGGCCAGGCCAGGAUCAGAGAGCCUUGGGGGUGGGGGUGGGGGUGGGGGGGGGGGGGGGGGGGGAAGCCUUGCUCAAUGAGACCUGCUGAAAACACCCUCCUGCUUUUAUCAAUCAAUUCAGAGCAGAGGUCAAACAGUAGGCUGUGGACGCAGCAACAACAACAGUGACCUUCCACUACUGAAGACCUGGCCAUUUAGAACAGGUCAGUUACGAGUCAAAUGACCCUUCCACUACUGAAGACCUGGCCAUUUAGAACAGGUCAGUUAAGAGUCAAAUGUGAAACUUCUCUUCUAUAUUAAACUCUAAAGGCAGUGCAACAUCAUCAAUUAUCUUAAUGAUUAUUGCAUGGAGAAAUAGGUCAAGGAAGUGUCAAAGACAAAUACAGCAAUAGUUGAAGUAGCACUUUACAUGGCGGUAGCCUUAUCUGUGGCCUACGGUAUGCUCCCUGUCUAAAGCACUGGGAUUAGACGUCCAUUUGAAUGGUUAUAGACCAUACAGAUGGUACUUAGAUGGCUCUGGGGUAGCUUCAGUGCCAUUUAGGAAGGACAAGGGAGAUGACGACAUGCCUUGCUUGAGUUGGAUUUUAAAUGUUAUAUUAGUAUGAAAUAUUAGUAUCUAUUAAAUCAGUUUUACAGUGGAUAUACACUUACUUGUGCGUCUGAUUUUGUGAUAUGGCAAUGUUGAUGUGUGCAUUUAAUAAAGUUGAAACUGUAGGAGUUCA